rnacentral:rRNA from 1 species
AACGGUCUUGUUAUUGGAAUGAGAACAAUUUAAAUAACUUAACGAGGAUCAAUUAGAGGGCAAGUCUGGUGCCAGCAGCCGCGGUAAUUCCAGCUCUAAUAGCGUAUAUUAAAGUUGUUGCAGUUAAAAAGCUCGUAGUCGGAUGUCGGGCUCGGGCAAGCUGUCGGCCUUUGGUCGGACGACAGGCUCGGGUCUUUCUGCCUGAGGAACCCGGUUGCUUUAACGAGCUGCCGGUGGACGCAGGUCGUUUACUUUGAAAAAAUUAGAGUGUUCAAAGCAGGCUAGCGCUUGAAUACAUUAGCAUGGAAUAAUGGAAUAGGACUUUGGUGCUAUUUUGUUGGUUCAUGGGACCGAAGUAAUGAUUAACAGGGACAGUUGGGGCCGUUUAUAUUUCGUUGUCAGAGGUGAAAUUCUUGGAUUUACGAAAGAUAAACUUCUGCGAAAGCAUUUGCCAAAGAUGUUUUCAUUGAUCAAGAACGAAAGUAUGGGGAUCGAAGACGCUUAGAUACCGUCGUAGUCUAUACCAUAAACUAUGCCAACUAGGGAUGUGACGGGUACUCUUUUAUGGCUCGUUGCGCACCUUAUGAGAAAUCAAAGUCU